rnacentral:rRNA from 1 species
GACGAACGCUGGCGGCGUGCUUAACACAUGCAAGUCGAACGGAAAGGCCCUGCUUUUGUGGGGUGCUCGAGUGGCGAACGGGUGAGUAACACGUGAGUAACCUGUCCUUGACUUUGGGAUAACUUCAGGAAACUGGGGCUAAUACCGGAUAGGAGCUCCUGCUGCAUGGUGGGGGUUGGAAAGUUUCGGCGGUUGGGGGUGGACUCGCGGCUUAUCAGCUUGGUGGUGGGGUAGUGGCUUACCAAGGUUUUGACGGGUAGCCGGCCUGAGAGGGUGACCGGCCACAUUGGGACUGAGAUACGGCCCAGCCUCCUACGGGAGGCAGCAGUGGGGAAUAUUGCACAAUGGGCGGAAGCCUGAUGCAGCAACGCCGCGUGCGGGAUGACGGCCUUCGGGUUGUAAACCGCUUUCGCCUGUGACGAAGCGUGAGUGACGGUAAUGGGUAAAGAAGCACCGGCUAACUACGUG